UCCAAGAGAUCUGUGGUCACUCAC
rnacentral:miRNA from 1 species